ACCGGAAGCUUCUACGACAAGGAUAACAUACCUAAAUUACCAAUUGCAAUUUUCCAUAUUUGGCACGAGGGGGCCCCCGCCCACCCUGUGACGUAAAACGUUCUCAGUGACCUCCAAAUUUUUUUAUUCAAAUGGUAGACCUGCAGAAAUUUUGAAAAAGGUAUUCACUGUUUUUUCUUCAAUCAAUAACCCUUGUACUAGUAUUCAUUCGAUCAUCAUGUUGGAGGAAGAGGAGACCACGGGAGGUGUGGAGGUGGACGCCACUUCGGAUUCAACAACACCGAGGCCUUUUAGGUUCGAGCCGAAGCGCGCAUCAGCGUCUGCGAAACUGUCUACAAGUAAUAUUUCUGAGACUACAAAACAGAUGAACGUGAAGAGAACGCUUUGGUUGCAAGUGCUCGCGUGAGAAGCACUGCUUGAUGCCGUUGCGGACAAUGCAGCAUGAUGUGGAGCGAGGUCGAGUCGACUUGUUGCUGGGAGGUUCCUGCAGCUUUCAGUAAACGCGGCGAGCAGGAAGGGCUGCAGUGCGUCACGCAGCACUCAGAGUUUGCUGUUGUUUGCCUGCAAAAAUCAGUGCUCGAGGUUGCAUUGCUUUCCUUCGAAGAAUUUCGGGCAAGGUGUGGACCGUGGUCAAACAGGAUUUGGAGACGUGUGGCGUAUAGACAAUACACAUGGUUCACCCAUGGAUACGUUGGACGCAAGCAGCGGCGUGUGAUACCGUCUUGCGUGGUAUCGAAGAUAAAGCAGCUGUACCAGAAGCCAAUGCAGAUGCGCACUGGGGCUUUGAGGAAGCAGUUGGACAUGAUGAUGAUGAUGAUGAUGAUGAUGAUAAUGCUUCUUGGCCUGGUUGACGUUCACAUAAUCAUUGGUACAUGUGCAUGCAGAAAACAGUUGACAGACACGAUUUAUAACUAUUCUUGACUCGGGCAAUAUUUGUGUUUUCGGGUGGGCGCAUGCUUUGCACCAAUGCAGCUGCAUGAACAAUCUGGUAAAGUUGACAGAUACAAUGGCACAAGA